rnacentral:rRNA from 1 species
UAAAACUUUCAACAACGGAUCUCUUGGCUCUGGCAUCGAUGAAGAACGCAGCGAAAUGCGAUAAGUAAUGUGAAUUGCAGAAUUUAGUGAAUCAUCGAAUCUUUGAACGCACAUUGCGCCCCUUGGUAUUCCGAGGGGCAUGCCUGUUCGAGCGUCGUCACA